CUACAAUUGUUUGGUACGGCGAUGGGCACCAGAUUCACACUCAGUUAUGCUAAUCAGUUAAUGUCCCUGUGGGACCAGAGACAUAUUUUUGAACAACAUGAAUGGGAUGCAAAUCUGGUGACCUAUUGCCGAUACAUUGACGACUUCUUCAUUUGGAAUGGGGAUGAUCCAUCACUUAUACAUUUUCUACAGCAUCUUGACAAUAAUGAUUGGGGCAUCAGACUGACUAGCGCCUAUA